UGCGUAGGCGGUUUGGUAAGUCUGAUGUGAAAUCUAUGGGCUCAACUCAUAGUCUGCAUCGGAAACUGCCGGGCUGGAGUGUGGGAGAGGUGAGUGGAAUUUCCGGUGUAGCGGUGAAAUGCGUAGAUAUCGGAAGGAACACCUGUGGCGAAAGCGGCUCACUGGACCACAACUGACGCUGAUGCACGAAAGCUAGGGGAGCAAACAGGAUUAGAUACCCUGGUAGUCCUAGCCCUAAACGAUGACUGCUUGGUGUGACGGGUACCCAAUCCCGCCGUGCCGUAGCUAACGCGUUAAGCAGUCCGCCUGGGGAGUACGGUCGCAAGGCUGAA
rnacentral:rRNA from 1 species